rnacentral:rRNA from 1 species
GAUGAACGCUGGCGGCGUGCCUAAUACAUGCAAGUCGAGCGAACGGACGAGGAGCUUGCUCCUCUGAUGUUAGCGGCGGACGGGUGAGUAACACGUGGAUAACCUACCUAUAAGACUGGGAUAACUUCGGGAAACCGGAGCUAAUACCGGAUAAUAUUUUGAACCGCAUGGUUCAAUAGUGAAAGACGGUCUUGCUGUCACUUAUAGAUGGAUCCGCGCUGCAUUAGCUAGUUGGUAAGGUAACGGCUUACCAAGGCAACGAUGCAUAGCCGACCUGAGAGGGUGAUCGGCCACACUGGAACUGAGACACGGUCCAGACUCCUACGGGAGGCAGCAGUAGGGAAUCUUCCGCAAUGGGCGAAAGCCUGACGGAGCAACGCCGCGUGAGUGAUGAAGGUCUUCGGAUCGUAAAACUCUGUUAUUAGGGAAGAACAUAUGUGUAAGUAACUAUGCACAUCUUGACGGUACCUAAUCAGAAAGCCACGGCUAACUACGUG